GUGGUUUAGUGGUAUAAUACCCCCUUAGCAAUUGGAUCAGACUCAGUCUGAUCUCGAACUGGGGGUGGUCCGGGGUUCGAUUCCCCGCGAGUCCA